UCUGUGUGGUGUAUUCUAAGAGUAUUCAGUGGCUGUAUUUAAGAUAUGUUAAAUGAUAAACUGGUAGUUUCCGCUGCGAUGUAGCCCUUCGGUGCCUCUGUGGUGUAAAACAAUCACCAAUCAAACAAUCCAAAAUCAAUGACGUCAUAUGUUACCAUUUGAUGUUGGAUUGAUGUAUCAUUGACAUAUACCACACAUGUGUUUCUAUUUGUCAAACCCGAAUCGUUGACAGAGAUAUUGUAUAAGAUUCACCAUGCAGUAAAACCCAUGCUGAG
rnacentral:lncRNA from 1 species